rnacentral:tRNA from 1 species
GUUUCCGUAGAGUUGUGGUUAUCACAUUUGCCUAACACGAAAGGUCCCUGGUUUGAAACCAGGCGGAAACA